AGACCGAUAGCGAACAAGUAGAGUGAUCGAAAGGUUAAAAGCACCUUGAAAAGGGAGUUAAACAGCACGUGAAAUUGUUGAAAGGGAAGCGCUUGCGGCCAGACUCGGGGGCGGGGUUCAGCGGGUGCUCGUCGCCCGUGUACUCCUCGUCUCCCGGGCCAGCAUCAGUUUCGACGGCCGGUCAAAGGCCCCCGGAAUGUGUCGUCUCUCGGGACGUCUUAUAGCCGGGGGUGCAAUGCGGCCCGUCGGGACUGAGGAACGCGCUCCGGCUCGGAUGCUGGCGUAAUGGCCGUAAGCGGCCCGUCUUGAAACACGGACCAAG
rnacentral:rRNA from 1 species